rnacentral:rRNA from 1 species
UACGUAGGGACCAAGCGUUGUUCGGAAUCACUGGGCGUAAAGGGCGCGUAGGCGGCCAAAUAAGUCGGGGGUGAAAGCCUGUGGCUCAACCACAGAAUUGCCUUCGAUACUGUUUGGCUCGAGACCGGAAGAGGUAAGUGGAACUGCGAGUGUAGAGGUGAAAUUCGUAGAUAUUCGCAAGAACACCAGUGGCGAAGGCGGCUUACUGGUCCGGUUCUGACGCUGAGGCGCGAAAGCGUGGGGAGCAAACAGG